rnacentral:rRNA from 1 species
CGCCUUGCCAGCCCGCUCAGAAACUUAAAGGAAUUGACGGGGGCCCGCACAAGCGGAGGAACAUGUGGUUUAAUUCGAUGAUACGCGAGGAACCUUACCUGGGCUAGAACGCAAUCGGAAUCAGGCCGAAAGGUCUGCGCCAGCGAUGGCCGCUUGCGAGGUGCUGCAUGGUUGUCGUCAGCUCGUGCCGUGAGGUGUCGGGUUAAGUCCCAUAACGAGCGCAACCCCUACUGCUAGUUGCCAGCGGGUCAUGCCGGGGACUCUAGCGGAACUGCCAGCGUAAGCUGCGAGGAAGGUGGGGAUGACGUCAAAUCAGCACGGCCCUUACGUCCAGGGCUACACACGUGUUACAAUGGCCAGUACAGAGGGCAGCCACCCCGCGAGGGGGCGCUAAUCCUAAAAGCUGGUCCCAGUUCGGAUCGGAGUCUGCAACCCGACUCCGUGAAGCUGGAUUCGCUAGUAAUCGCGGAUCAGCCAAGCCGCGGUGAAUACGUUCCCGGGCCUU